rnacentral:lncRNA from 1 species
GUCUGGGAGCUCCCAGAUGCAGUCGAGUAAGGAGCAUGACCGUGGAACAGUGCGUGGAAGAGGGAUGGCAAAAUCGUCCGAGGACAAACUGGCAGCUUGUCCUUCUGGCACCCGAGAUGACUUCGUGACUUGGUUGUUCUGUGAUCUAAAGAGACUCAUCCCGUGCUCCAAGAAUGGAGUUCAGGAUGCAGAAGAAGGGACACUCAGUUCAGGGAAAACUAACCGGAGUUCUCCUGCUUCAGCAACUGUGCUUGAUCGUGUGGACUGGUGUCCAGAGGUGUGGGUGUCAAGUCACCCUGCACAUCGGGGCCAUGCUCACUCCCUCACUGAAGGCACCCUGGUGGGGAGAUACACAUCGAAGCUGCUGGGAUCAUCUUCCUCAUGCAGGGCGUACAGUUCUACAAAUUCACUUAUAUCACCCGGAGUGUGGGCCCAAGGAACAUCCAAAUCCCCCAUACACGUAUCCUGGACGUUAUCAUGCGGAGUGUCCACUGCUGAACUCAACACAGGGGCUCCAUCUCUUCUGGUGAUGUGGCUCUCAGAGGGCUCCUGUGGAUCAUGGUUGCCGUCAUCUGAAGAUCCAGCAAUUGUUCUAAAGGGAGAAGAGAAACAGGAUAAUGAAAAUGGAUGAGUCCAAAGAUUAAUCUCCAUGUUCAACCUAGGAAGUGAGGUUCAGGUGUCUGAAA